rnacentral:sRNA from 15 species
UAGCUCAGUUGGUAGAGCAGUUGACUUUUAAUCAAUUGGUCGCAGGUUCGAAUCCUGCACGACCCACCAAUUUAACAUCAACAUCAGAUGUUAAACGUGAAGGAUAACGUUGCUUUAGCAACGGCCCGAAGGGCGAGGCGAAGCCGAGUCAUCCUGCACGACCCACCA